GGCACAGUGUAGUGGUUUGAGUACCGGACUACAACUCUGGAGAUCAGGGUUCGAUUCCCCACUCUGCCA